UUAAUGUACGAGCAUGCUCUUUGGCAAGAGUUAGACUUUACUGACAAGGAUUUGACUUUUCAAGAACAAAUCUUGUUUAUAUUCAACUGUUUGGUGCACAAUUAACAAUCUGAUCUUAUAUUAGUUGAUACCAUCGAAUUUUCGUAUUCAAAUAUCAACUAGAAAUGGCUACAGAUGAAAAACCUAUGCUGAAUUUGGCUUAUGAAUAUGCAACUGAUUUCCAUCAGGCUUUCGCCAUGAUUGCGUUCACUGCAAUUGCCAUGGCUUUGAUUAUUUUAGGAGUAUCAGUUGGAAUGUGGAACAUGGAUCCUGGUCGAGACUCAAUUAUCUACCGAGCAACUAGUCAAAAAAUGAAAAAAGACCAGUGAAUUCGGUGAAUUCAUCUUUCCAUUCCUCAUUCUCUUUUUUUGUUUCAACUUGUUGUAAUUUGAUUUCAUGGUGUCUAUUGUGUGAAGCCAAUUGAAUUUUUUUUAUUUGUUAA